CUCUCUCUCUAUUUGAAAAUAUAAGCCCUGAUAUUUGAAAUCUUCAUCCCCUCUCUGCUCUCUCCUUCCUCACCGCAUUCUCUUCUCCCAUGGAGAAUAUCCUCACUGAUUAGCCUUUUCCGAUUAAUUCAGCAACGAUUGAAGAGAUCGACGCAUUGAUGCUUCGCGGCGUAGUUCCAUUGAUAAUCAGCCCUCGCCAAUUCUCGACGUCGCCUUCGUGCCGCCUCGCUGGAGCACAAUCGCCAUCGAAUUCAUACAAUUGGAGCUCAUCAACAGCUGCAGAAUCUUCUCGUCGUCUCCACACACUGUAAUCCAAUCAGAUUACAGUGCCCCUUCCUGAAAGUAAUCAGAAAACUUUGCAAUGCCCCUUCCUAAAAAUCGUCUUCUCUCUGCAGCUCUUAAUUGAGAGAUGGAAAAUCUUGGAUUCGACCUCGAAAUCCAUGGAUCGGCUUGUGGAGAUUGUGAUGAGGAAGGAGUUGCACAGCCUCGUUCUGUUGGAGAAGUGGUUGAUGGGAAUGAGGGGCAAGAUGAGGUCGUAUUUUGGAGCUGGAGAAGAAAUUAUUGGAGCAAGCUGUGUACAGUGAGGAGAAAGCGUAUAUGCUGUACUGUGAUUACGCGACUGCCAUGGAUUUCAAUGUCCGUAGGGGGAAGCAGUACUAUUUUAUGGGAACAAAGAAGGUGUGAUAAAAAAACUCACUGUUGUUCAAAGGAAGGGGUUAACGAUGAUUAAGCAGAUACCAGUAGUGUCUGUUACAAAAAGCCGGAAACGAGAACAGGAUGCAGAGCGAUGGUAUCUUUCGUUUGCGAUGAUAGUGGCCAAUGGAAGGUUUCUAGGUUCCUAAAGGAGCAUAAUCAUGAAAUGGCCCCAGCGUAUGCAAAGCCCUCAGUGAAAUCUGGCCAAGGUAUUUUAGCUGCGAAUGUGUAUGGGAGUGGCGGUGCUCUGGAGUCACUGUAACAUGUUCUUCGUUGAAUGGAGUAAGUCUAUGCCCUGAAGAUCAAGUGGUAAAGCUACUGGAAUUUGCUUGAGAAAUGAGAGACUUUAAGAUGAGAUGUUUUAGUUAUACAUCAAUGUCAUAUUUUACUUCUUUUGAAAGCAUCAGCUAUGGUGGCAGAGUGAAUUGCAAAGUCUGAUGAAACUAAUCCAACUGAAGUAGAAAAAGAAAUAUUCAAUGAACUUGGAGUUAGUGCAAGGAUGGUACAUGGAACCCAAAAUUAUGCAGGGGUGACUAAAGAUGCAAAUAUGGAAUAGCUUAUUUUUUGAAUGAAUUCAACAAAUAUUAAAGAGGCUGAUCGUAGCCAGACUUAGUUGUAGAUUCGUAAAUAUUUACUAUUUUUAGUUGGUUUAUAUCUUAAUAAAUCCCUUUUUUUUCUUUUA